rnacentral:rRNA from 1 species
AGCGAACGCUGGCGGCAGGCCUAACACAUGCAAGUCGAACGAACUCUUCGGAGUUAGUGGCGGACGGGUGAGUAACACGUGGGAACGUGCCUUUUGGUUCGGAAUAACUCAGGGAAACUUGUGCUAAUACCGAAUGUGCCCUUCGGGGGAAAGAUUUAUCGCCAUUAGAGCGGCCCUCGUCUGAUUAGCUAGUGGGGGAGGUAAUGGCUCCCCAAGGCGACGAUCAGUAGCUGGUCUGAGAGGAUGACCAGCCACACUGGGACUGAGACACGGCCCAGACUCCUACGCGAGGCAGCAGUGGGGAAUCUUGCGCAAUGGGCGAAAGCCUGAAGCAGCCAUGCCGCGUGAAUGAUGAAGGUCUUAGGAUUGUAAAAUUCUUUCACCGGGGACGAUAAUGACGGUACCCGGAGAAGAAGCCCCGGCUAACUUCGUG